CCGCACUUCAUCAGGUACGUGAGACGUACGGUCGGAACGGAGUCGAACCAUCAUCCGACUCGGUUUAGAGUUCCUACGUCAUCAUGUCUCUAGUACGUGUGCUCUAGUACGUGAUGACGGUGGCUAGUCCUCUAGUACGUGCUCUAGUUAGCAUCAUGUCUGAAAAGGUUUGACGAUUAUCCAUAUCUCGCUUGCCACACACACACACACACACGAGACUUACAACAUAUUACUGGUUUGAUUAUCCAUAUCUCGCUUGCCCCCCCCCCCCCCCCCAACCACCCACACCCACCACACACACACACACACGAGACUUACAACAUAUUACUGCUAGUUACCAAGUAUUGUACUGUUAUAUAUAGCUCAAAAAUUAUUAUUACUAAUUAUUGUCUUUUGUUCCAUUUAGCUAAUAUUAUAUAUAGAUUGUUUAAACUUGUAUCGUUUUGUAUAUAUGUAUUCAAUGGAAAUGGGGAGAUCCCUCAUAUCGGGAAACAAAAAGUACACAGCUGCAUUAACAGAGAAAUACAGAAAGGUUAAUGUAGUGUAACUUCAUCAAACACAAGAUACUCUGCAUAGCUCAUGCCUCUAGCUAGUCUCAAACACACGAACUAGUGUAACACUCAAAAUUUUGCUCAUUUUAAAAAUAGGUGAAAAAUGAUUUAUUUAUGAAUUUUUGUGCUCAUGAAACAUAGGGGAAUAAUAUUUUUCAGUAAAUUGAAACUUGUCAUAGGGUUUAGUAACAUGUAUGUGCACUCAUGCUGGAGCAUUUAUAUUUUUGUACUGUGUGACUUUGAGUAAAGUUCAAAAGUAUUUCAAAACUGUUUUUAAAAGGGACUUGAAAUGGCUUUGGAAUAAAAGAAAGGAAAAUAAAAAAAAACAACAAAACCUUUCUCCCCCCUCAUUCUGGCCCGAAGGCCCAGCACUCCCCUUUCCCCCCGCGGCCCACUCUCUUCCUUCCCCCUUUCUUCCCUUGGCUCGGCCCAGGAGCGCGUGUGUUCCCCCCCCCUCUCCCCCUGUUUGGCUGACGAGCGGGUCCCUCUUCUUCUCUCACUGACUGGUGGAGCCCACGUGGCAGCGCCUUUCCCUUCCUUCCCCUUUUCUUCUUCGGCGUGACGGAACAGGUCUCUUACCAAACCGAAGAGCUUGAUCCCGAUUUAUGCGGGAUUAGCUACCAAAACAGAGGCUAACGCGGCCAAUAAGUAGAGCCAAGGUCUCCACCGCCUCCGAUUCUUUCCCUCGCAUGUUUUCUAGGUCCUAAUUUCGUGCUUUGGCUCCGUUUCGGAUCUCAUCGGAGAAAAAGGAGCCGCCGCCGCAGCUCCCGUUCUCUACUGUGUCAAGCCGCCAAUGACCUUGUGCCGAGCACGGUGACUGAGCAACGAAGCCGCCGAGCCCUUUCCCGCACUCUCCCUCGACCUCAGUGAACCGUGCGACACCGCCGAAUGUCGCAGGGAGGCUUCCGUCCGCCAAACUACGCUGCACAGAAUCUCCGACCGAUUUCCGGCCGCAAAAAUCUCCUAGGUGAGUUCGUCUUGCGCCUAGCUUGCUCCCCAUGUUCUCAGAUUCGUGUUUGGUGCUCUAUAUCGCCGAUUCGACGAACUCCGGCGAGGUUUGCUUCCCUCCGGCAAUGGCGCCACCGCGCUGGCCACUGUAGCCGGCCGGAGCUCUCUCUCUCUCUCUCCCUUCCCGAACUAAUCUGCGCCAUCCGUUUCUAAUCCGAUGGCCCAUAGAGGCCGAUACCCUUCGGCCUGGCAGAUUUGCUAAAGAACCCCUGCUCUUUUUAAAGUCUUAACCCGCGGUCCAAAUCACUUUCUCGGUUUACGCUUUUCGACUUUGAAAGCGUACUUUCCAUCGGUUCUGCUGGAAUACGUUUUCCAGAAAUUACAGUUUUGCCAUUAGAAUUGUUUUCAUCAUAAAAUAUUCAUUUUAAUCCCGAUUUGACCCAUUCAAAUUGCGUU
rnacentral:lncRNA from 1 species